rnacentral:ncRNA from 1 species
CCAAAUAUAAUAUUUUAAAUAUUUAAAAAAUAUUAUUUUUGUCCCUCUUAAAGUUUUAUUCUUGCUUAAAUAUUCACUUUUUCUUUGUAUUAUAUGUAAGUUUUGUGAGACUGAAUGUUCUUUUUGCAGUAAUUUAAUUUAAUUAUCAAGUUAUUUUGGAAUUAGUAAUUGAUCUAGUAUUGGCAUAUUUCGUGCCAGCAGCCGCGGUUAUACGAUUAAUGCAAGUGAAUAUUAUUGGUUAAAACAGUUAUUUAUAUUUUUGAGUUUGAUUAUGAAUUAAUAAGGUGAAAUUUAGAAUUUUUUUUAUGACUCUUUUUAUGAAUCUGUGAAACUUAAAUAAUAAACUAGGAUUAGAUACCCUAUUAUUUUAAGUGUUAAUUUUGUUUACCAGGGUAGUAUUAGUUAGGAUCUUUAAACCCAUAAAAUUUGGCGGUAUCUUAUUCCAUUCAAAGGAACCUACCCCGUAAUUGAUAAUACACGAUUAACUUUACUUAGUUUAUUUGUUUGUAUAUCUCCGUUAUCAGAAAAUCUUUUUAGAGUUAUAAUUUUCUUGAUUUAUAAUUAUAAAGUAUUUCAGGUCAAGGUGCAGUUUAUGACUAAGAGGAGGUGGGUUACAAUAGGUUAUUAAUUAUUACGAAUUUAUUAUUGAAAAUAUUUAAUGAAGGUGGAUUUGAUUGUAAUUUAAUUUAUUUAAUUUAAUUGAUAUUGGCUCUGAGGUGUGUACACAUCGCCCGUCGCUCUCAUUAUUGAAUUUUUAUUUUAAUUUUUAAUUUGUUGAGUUUUUUCAAAUUAGAUGAGAUAAGUCGUAACAUAGUAGAUGUACUGGAAAGUGUAUCUAGGAAGAGGCUC